rnacentral:misc_RNA from 1 species
GAUGAAGAACGUAGCGAAAUGCGAUAAGUAAUGCGAAUUGCAGAAUUCCGUGAGUCAUCGAAUCUUUGAACGCACAUUGCGCCCUCUGGUAUUCCGGAGGGCAUGCCAGUCUGAGCGUCAUUGUCAACCCUCAAGCUCAGCUUGCUGUUGGGUCCCCGUCGUUGCUUUAACGGCGGACCCGAAAGGUAAUGGCAGAGUCCGUGAGACCCUAGACGCAGCGAGCUUCUAGCACGCGUCUGGACGUUUUUCGGGCUCGGUCUUAACUAGAUGAUAACUUCCGAUUGACCUCAGAUCAGGUAGGGAUACCCGCUGAACUUAAGCAUAUCAAUAAGCGGAGGA